rnacentral:misc_RNA from 1 species
GCUCUACUCCUUACUCAUAACAAAAACUUCUUGACCCAGGAUCAUUUUGCGAAAAAGAAAAAGCAAAUUACCUAAAUACCCUGACCAUGCAAUCAAACCCCAACUCUCCUCAUCCUCCUAUUUCUUUUAAUUCAUUUUUUCCCUGUCUCUCUCUUGCCAAACUCCAUUUAGGAAAUCAACUCCAGCAAUUAUCCCCCAUCUUCCCUUCCUCAAUUUUUCCCUUCCUUUUUCAUUUUCCUCUUUCAUGAUUGUCUUCCUUCCUCUCUUUCGCACAGCUGCUGCUGCAUGCACACCCUCUCACAAACUUGCUCUAGAGAAAAAUACUGUCAGAGAUAGCUUUUUUUUAAUUCACUCCCCCUCUCUAUCACACACUUCCUUCUCUUAAUUUUGAUCAUUCUUACCUCUCUACAGAUUUGCGAGGCAAGAGAGAGGCCAUGGUUGGCUAUUGUAGAAGAGCCCAUCCGCUGGGCAUGGACAUAAAGCUGGCCCUUGGAAUGAAGAAAUCAACAAUUAAGCUUGAUUUGGUGCCAGCAGCAAGCUUGAUUUGUAGAAGAGCAGAAAUCCACAGAAGAAGAAGAUGAUAUACUGAAAAUGGAGUCCCCUAGCGAGCCCAACAGUAAUCUUGGGUAAGAUCGUCACUACAGAUUUUUUUUUUU